ACUCCUGCGGGAGGCAGCAGUGGGGAAUUUUACGCAAUGGGGGAAACCCUGACGUAGCGACACCGCGUGAGCGAAGAAGCCCUUUGGGGUGUAAAGCUCUGUCAGCUGGAACGAAAACAAUGACGGUACCAGCAGAGGAAGCAUCGGCUAACUACGUGCCAGCAGCCGCGGUAAGACGUAGGAUGCGAGCGUUGUCCGGAUUUAUUGGGCGUAAAGAGUUCGUAGGUGGUUUGUUAAGUUUGGUGUUAAAGAUCGGGGCUCAACCCUGGGACUGCACUGAAUACUGGCAGACUCGAGUGUGGUAGAGGCUAGUGGAAUUCCCAGUGUAGCGGUGAAAUGCGUAGAUAUUGGGAAGAAAACCGGUGGCGUAGGCGACUAGCUGGGCCAUAACUGACGCUGAGGAACGAAAGCCAGGGGAGCGAAUGGGAUUAGAAACCCGGGUAGUCCCAU
rnacentral:rRNA from 1 species